UAGGGAAUCUUCCACAAUGGGCGCAAGCCUGAUGGAGCAACGCCGCGUGAGUGAAGAAGGUCUUCGGAUCGUAAACUCUGUUGUUAGAGAAGAACACGAGUGAGAGUAACUGUUCAUUCGAUGACGGUAUCUAACCAGCAAGUCACGGCUAACUACGUGCCAG
rnacentral:rRNA from 1 species